CUCAUCUUUAAGAGCUCUUCUUUCGUCUUAGCCAUUUUUUUUUGGUGAAUUUUCAAUUAAGGACAGCCAUGGGAUUAGAAGAAAACAUGUAUAAUCUCAGAUGUGAAAACCAAAGGCUCAAGAAUGAGCUCUCCGCAAAAUCGAAAUCCCGCAGCGAUCUUGAGAAGCUGUUUCGAAGCUUGGGGAAAGAGAAAGAAGCCAUGGCAGCUGAAUUAUCUCGAAAGACAAGCCAACUUCAAGGAGCUGAAGAAGUCCUGGAAGACCUAAGGCAGCAAAAUCAAAGGUUAGCAACAAAGCUUGUAAGUGUGGAGAAAGAGAGGGAGGUUUCACAAGGGAAAAUAAUGGUGCAAGAGGAGUUUAAAAAGAUGGUACAUGAACUAAGGUCGCUUAAGAAGAGGGCUAAGGAGCUGGAAGAGGAGAACAACUUGCUAAAAGAUCAUGUACAAGUUCGAGAGAGAGAGAGAGAGAAUAGAGUGAGUGUCAAUCCAGAAUAGAGAAGUUCUCCUUUCGGGGGAAAGGGAGUUUUUGGGAAUGUAUAGUUGGGAUUACUCCAAGCAAUGUAUAGUUGGGAUUUCACCUCUCUUG